UUUUUUAACAGAAAAAAGGUGUAAAUCUUCACGGUGCCCAUUCAAUUCAGGUAAGGAAAUAACUUCACUGUGAUACUCCUGUCUGUAUAUCCCCCUCCUAUAUACUCCCUCCUAUAUACUACCUCCUAUAUACUCCCUCCACUAUACUACCUCCUAUAUACCCCCUCCUAUAUACUCCCACCUGUAUAUCCCCCUCCUAUAUACUACCUCCUGUAUACCUCUCCUAUAUACUACCUCCUAUAUACUACCUCCACUAUACUACCUCCUGUAUACCGCCUCCUAUAUACUCCCUCCUAUAUACCCCCUCCUAUAUACCCCCUCCUAUAUAUCCCCCUCCUAUAUACUCCCUCCUAUAUACUCCCACCUGUAUAUCCCCCUCCUAUAUACUACCUCCUGUAUUCCCCUCCUAUAUACUCCCACCUCUAUAUACCCCUCCAAUAUAGUCCCUCCUGUAUAUCCCCUCAUAUAUGCUCCCACCUCUCUGUAUACUCCCACCUGUAUACUCCCACCUCUCUAUAUACUCCCACCUCUCUGUAUGCUCCCACCUUUCUGUAUACUCCCACCUCCCUGUAUACUCCCACCUGUAUACUCCCACCUCUCAUUUGCUGGCUGCAUAUAAUUAAUAUGAACACUACAUUGAAUCCUUUACCAUGAAUAUCCUAAUUCAGAUAGAACUUGACAAAUACCAGAUUGAAGAUCAGGCGAGAUGCUCCAAGCUCCAUAAACAGGUUCUGGUUCAGCUGACAGAAUAAUGCACAAACCGUGGGAAGGCAGAAAUGUAUGUGAUUAUUUAUAGAAAUAUGGAUUAGAAAGAAGUAGUAACAGAAAAUGUUAUUUUUUUUUCUCAUUUUGAAGUAGAUUCUGGGAAAGUAAAGAGUGUGAAAUAGUUACUUAUUUAAAGGGAUACAAAAGUAACCAUCGCAGCCAGGUGUAGUGGAUAUGGUAGGAGCACACUGACGCUGUUUCCCAGUAAUGACCGUUUUACAAUGGCGAUGAUAUUGCUCAUUCAUUGGAUGAGAGCAGAAUUCUAGGUCGAGGCCCGAACCAGUGACACCCCAGCGACACUGCCGUAGUUCGAAUUACACCUCUAAGGAGUUAGACUCUGUAUGGACAGCGUCUCAUAGCGAAAUUCUGCAUGUGGCAAACCUAGCCACUUGUAGGAUGCUGGACUAUCUGUAUCAAAAGGUUGUCUGUAAUAACCGCUGUAAUGUAUGUGUAACAUUGGUCUAUACUGUUAUGUGCAUAGAAUUCGUAUGUUAGCAGCCGAAAGCCGCUAGCAUUCAUGUAUUUCGUUUCACGAACAGCGACUUUACGGGCUGUUCGUGAACCGAAUGAGCUACCCCCUAAUAGCCCACACAUAGAGGGACGUGUGGCACUCAUUAACCGAUUGCAACAUUGUUGCAAUCGGUAAUUAAAGACUUUCCUUGGUGGCCGUCGUUCAGCUACCGACCACGCGGUGGUCGGCCAUCUUGGAUCCUUUGUCUCACCAGUGGUGUUUGGUCGUCGAGCGCGUGGAACUGAAAAUGGCUACUCGACGGCGCGAACACUGCUGGACUUCCAGGCUGUUUGGGAGCUCCGGUCUUUUCCUAUUGUGGUUCCCCAUCGGUGUUCGAUACUUUUAGGCGAACUCAAUGGCAUAGUGUAUUUUGUGCGGCGUUUGGUUGUUUUAGCUGGGAUCUGAGCGGUAUUCCCACGAAAUGUGCACUCAGACCCCAGCUAUCUACCGAAUGUCCAUUCGUUUAAAUAAACUCAAUAUUGUUAAAGUUAUGGAUUUAAAUGUAAAAUGCCGGUUCUGCUGCGCGGAGGGAUAAUCCACUUAACGGUAUAUUCCAGUGGGAGUAACCCUCUCGUCCAGCAGUGCUUGAUGGGAGAAAUGCUCAGAAUGUUAAGUCCCCCAUGUAGUCCCCUACUGUAUUACCCCUGCUAUGUCAGUAGGGAAACCCCUUGCAUGGGGACUUGCAUAAAUACUGUGACCUCUGAAUAAAAACCUCAGUUGACUCCCAGAACUGUGUUUCGUCCGGUUACUGGGGGAUUUGGGAUAUUGCCUUACUUUUCAGCGCUUGACUACACAAAUAUUAUAUCAAAACAUUCAGAUAUCCCUGCUGCCACUAAACAUGUCCACGGCUAAGCCAUAGUCCCGAUAGUUUUCAUGCUAUGACCAUUUGUUUGCAACUCACGCUGUCCAUUGACAUUCAUUGAAACUCCACUCUAGCCAGCUCAAACUUGAAGGGCAAUUUCUAAACUGCGACUGUGCCUUCAUUUAUAAUACUUCAGAGACAUACUAUGCAUUAACAUGUAGGUCUGGGUCUUGUGAUUCUCAUGACAUGUGCACAGUCGUUAUUCGGCAUGUGCCAAAACCUUAAUAAAAUACUCUGUGACACCAUUUCUGUUGGAGUAUAAAGCCCACAGCUUUAUUAAAAUUUUUAAUUCACAAUUUAACAAUUUAGGGUCAUUGUCACAAGUAUUAAUUAUGUCCGACAUUCUUGCCCAAUACCCCCGACAAUGACCCUACCAAAUAACAUUAAUAAAACAUUCCAAUAAUACAUAACUGUAACGGACCGUUUUGCACAAAAGGGGAAAAAAACGCUUAGACGAUAAUCCCCUUUUCAGAGACAGGCACAGCUACUGAAUAAUCACCAAAACUCACGAACCGCCAAUAAGUGAAUGCUCCAAACUCCCGAACGGCAUACAAGGGAAUAAGGUAGCACUUCAAAUAAACGAACAGGAACCAUACGAAUAGCUGCUAGCAGGCGAACAGGAAAAGCUUCCAAGCGGCUUACACUCCUGGCAAUCAGUCCUUAGCAGCAUACAGUAAAUCCCCCCAAAGACGAGACAAGGCUCCGUGUUGAGGGUCAAGCAGUGGUCUGUUUAAUGAGGGCUACCUGCCCGGCUUUUAUGCAGGUCUCCCACCUGGUGGACACUCCCCUAGGGGACCAGAUGGAAGACUGUGACAAGGGACAGACAAGUAUACAAAUAGGACACACAGUCACAGUAUAUUCCCACAAUGCAUCCUGGCUUCCUCCCCUCUGCCCUGGGAGAUAAUUGGGAAGUAACUCAAUUAUCUCCCAAGACAAAGGCAAAACUCCAUUACACACGUGGGAACACAAAACCAGCAUAACACUUUAAAAUGCACAAAGUAACAUUUACUACAUAAACCACAGACAUGUAACAUAUCCCCAGAUAGCUCAGGUCUGAGUGCACAUUAUUAGGUGAAUGGCACUCAGACCACACGAAUACAGUUUAAUCGCCAUGGAGCCAAAGUCUUUACAGUCAGUUUCAUACGAAUGGGCUCCAUGGGAUUCCUAUCUGGGGUAUAAGACAUUCACACAAAAAUACCGAACACCGGGUCAUUCGUGUGCUUUCACCGAACAAGAAGGGAGGUCGGCGGCUUCAGCGGUGUUCGCGCAAAACUGUGUCCGAUUUUAGUUCCAUGAAAAUAGAGGCGAACACCGCUGUUCAUUCGUAUGGUUUAAAAUGGCCGCGACCUCGUGUUCGGGAUACGAACGGCGGCCACCCAGCGUUCAUCAAUUAAGCUGCGGUUAACCGCAGCUUCAGGGAGGUUAAUUGCCGGCACACUCCAGCUCCCAGGUGGUCCAGUCAUUCGUACGGUUGUUCGGUAGAUUGAAACUACCGAACAACCGGCAGAAAAGCAUGAAUAUGGCUUUUCUGCAUGGAAAAAUAAAGUCUUUUAAAAGGGGGCCAUAGUCCAAAGGCAGCAGGCGAGCAACCAGGCUUCUCCAAUGCAAUGUGGCGAGAUUGGUCUCGUCACAUCUCUCCCCUUUUCCAAACAGACUAACAGGGUAUCUGACCUCCUGCCGGUCAGUGCCCUUGUUAGUCCAGCAGCCCACCCACAACAAAUAAUCAACAGCACAGCCCACCCACAAUAAAUGGUUACUACACCUGGGUAAAGGGGAAGCUUGUCCAUGUCCAGGUGCCUCACCACGGCUGUGCUGGGUACGGGUACGCUGACUUGGUGGGUUGCUGCGUGGGCAGAGACCAGCGGCACUCUGCCCUGUUGCCAGCGCUACUGGGAGGGUAGCCUGGUGGAAGCCUGGUUGUUGGAGGGGGAGACCGACUGUCUCCCCUUUAAAUACACCGCUCUGCUGCUGCUGCUGGAGACUGACUGUCUCCCCUUUAGCUGCACAGUCCUGCUGCUGGAGAUCGACCGUCUCCCCUUUGGUUACCCAUCUCUGCUGCUGGAGGGGGAGACCGACUGUCUCCCCUUUGGCUAAACAGCCCUGUCGCUGGGGGGCAGGACCGACCGUCCCUACCCCCUGUGCUGGCAGUGUAGAGACUACGGUCCCAUCUGCACGGUUGUGGGGCUUACUGUCUCCCCUUUGUACAUUAAGCUGCCGCUGGGGAGAGGGGGUAACAAGCUCCUCUCCCAUACAUACUUCCAGCUGUGGGGGAGGGAGACCGACUGUCUCUGCUCCCAAUACAGAGUCCUGCUGCUGGGGAAAGGAGACUGGGCUCUCUAUUCCCGGUAGGACACUCUGCCGCUGGGGAAUGGAGACUGGGCUCCCAAUUCCCAAUGAUCUGUGCCCAAUGGAGAAUUCCCAAAGCAUCAUACUGCCGCUGGGGAAUGGAGACUGGGCUCCCAAUUCCCAAAGCAUCAUACUGCUGCCGCUGGGGAAUGGAGACUGGGCUCCCAAUUCCCAAAAAAUCACGCUGCCGCUGGGGAGGGAGGACACUGCUCUCCUCUCCCUGGACUUCCCACUGCCUUCCCGGCAUAUCACUUGGCUGCUGGGGGGCAGGAACAACUACCUCUGCCCCCUGUAACUCAGCCUGCCGCUGGGGAAUGGAGCUCAGGCUCCCAAUUCCCUGCAAUAUCUCCCGCUGGGGAAUGGAGCUCGGGCUCCCAAUUCCCUGCAAUAUCUCCCGCUGGGGAAUGGAGCUCGGGCUCCCAAUUCCCUGCAAUUUCUCCCGCUGGGGAAUGGAGCUCGGGCUCCCAAUUCCCUGCAAUUCAUUCUGCUGCUGGGGGACAGGAGCGACUAUCUCUGUCCCCUGUAACUCAGCCUGCCGCUGGGGAAUGGAGCUCAGGCUCCCAAUUCCCUGCAAUAUCUCCCGCUGGGGAAUGGAGACUGGGCUCCCAAUUCCCAAUAAAUCACACGGCCGCUGGGGAAUGGAGACUGGGCUCCCAAUUCCCUGCAGGACCGGUGGAGAGACCUCGGUCCCAUCUCUACCGGCCACCUGGGGUUCUUCCCAGAAAAUAUCCACAAUGUCUUCCCAGCUGAAUGGGUCUGGUUCUGGCUCUGUCACCUUGCUGUCCUGCUGAAUCUUCUCAAUGGAGUGGAAGAGAUCUCGGUAGUCCUGCUCCAGUUCCCACUCCAGGGUUGCUAGGUGAGCCAGGUCUUGCUCAAUGUCGUGAGUGUCGUCCCAGUCAUACCUGCUCUCCCUCCACUCCAAGAGAUCACUGAACCGGGCUUGUGUAGGGCUCCCAAAUUCAGGCUCUGAAAAAACCUCCCAUAACAAGCCAGGACCAUCAAACUCCUCUCCCUCUGGCUUGUCAUGCUCGGCUGUCCAGGGCAGGUACUGUGCCCCAUACCACCAGAGCGCCUGGUAUGCAUCUUCCAGCCAAAUCUCCUGCCAUACCCGGUGCUCCAAUUCCUUCACCCAUUCAUCUAGGGGCUGCUCUCCCAGGAAGGGCAUCCGCAGGGCCACUUGCUUCUGCAACCGCUGCUCUUCACUGGGGAGACUCUCACCCCGCUGGUACUGUACAUUAUCCAGGGCCUGGUACCAGAUGCCUUUCCUUAAUGCAUCCCGGCCAUCCAGGUCCUCCUCCUCGUAUGACACUGCUGGUUCCAUGCUGUUGCUGUCAGGGUCGCUGUACUCAGACAUGCGUUGCCCUCAAAUUGUAAAUCCACGGAAUGGUGUCUCCUGUAGCUGUCCUGUAGUCCGUGGGAACGAUCCCACCGCUGCCACCAAUUGUAACGGACCGUUUUGCACAAAAGGGGAAAAAAACCGCUUAGACGAUAAUCCCCUUUUCAGAGACAGGCACAGCUACUGAAUAAUCACCAAAACUCACGAACCGCCAAUAAGUGAAUGCUCCAAACUCCCGAACGGCAUACAAGGGAAUAAGGUAACACUUCAAAUAAACGAACAGGAACCAUACGAAUAGCUGCUAGCAGGCGAACAGGAAAAGCUUCCAAGCGGCUUACACUCCUGGCAAUCAGUCCUUAGCAGCAUACAGUAAAUCCCCCAAAGACGAGACAAGGCUCCGUGUUGAGGGUCAAGCAGUGGUCUGUUUAAUGAGGGCUACCUGCCCGGCUUUUAUGCAGGUCUCCCACCUGGUGGACACUCCCCUAGGGGACCAGAUGGAAGACUGUGACAAGGGACAGACAAGUAUACAAAUAGGACACACAGUCACAGUAUAUUCCCACAAUGCAUCCUGGCUUCCUCCCCUCUGCCCUGGGAGAUAAUUGGGAAGUAACUCAAUUAUCUCCCAAGACAAAGGCAAAACUCCAUUACACACGUGGGAACACAAAACCAGCAUAACACUUUAAAAUGCACAAAGUAACAUUUACUACAUAAACCACAGACAUGUAACAUAUCCCCAGAUAGCUCAGGUCUGAGUGCACAUUAUUAGGUGAAUGGCACUCAGACUACACGAAUACAGUUCAAUCGCCAUGGAGCCAAAGUCUUUACAGUCAGUUUCAUACGAAUGGGCUCCAUGGGAUUCCUAUCUGGGGUAUAAGACAUUCACACAAAAAUACCGAACACCGGGUCAUUCGUGUGCUUUCACCGAACAAGAAGGGAGGUCGGCGGCUUCAGCGGUGUUCGCGCAAAACUGUGUCCGAUUUUAGUUCCAUAAAAAUAGAGGCGAACACCGCUGUUCAUUCGUAUGGUUUAAAAUGGCCGCGACCUCGUGUUCGGGAUACGAACGGCGGCCACCCAGCGUUCAUCAAUUAAGCUGCGGUUAACCGCAGCUUCAGGGAGGUUAAUUGCCGGCACACUCCAGCUCCCAGGUGGUCCAGUCAUUCGUACGGUUGUUCGGUAGAUUGAAACUACCGAACAACCGGCAGAAAAGCAUGAAUAUGGCUUUUCUGCAUGGAAAAAUAAAGUCUUUUAAAAGGGGGCCAUAGUCCAAAGGCAGCAGGCGAGCAACCAGGCUUCUCCAAUGCAAUGUGGCGAGAUUGGUCUCGUCACAAUAACGUUUAACCCAUGGCCUACCAAAGAGGCCCCAUAACCAUAUGUUUAACUGUAGGGGUGUACCCAGACACCCCUACACCGCCAGAUUCGUAGCCACCAACGAGCUAGAACCUACAAACCAUUUUCCACUCCGGCAUAGUCCAGCCUAGACCUUGGCCUGCCCACUUCCUAUUCCACCUAAAUCCUCUUUAACCCAGGCCCUAUUCCGCCACAGCACGUGACUUGACCCCCUCAAGAACACGUGUGACCCCACCACACAAAAACAGGGCCUGUGCAAUACCAUCCUGAAAACCCAAAUUAAGUAAAUCCGAUCCCACGUCGGAUAGAUGAACCCCAUCCUUCCUAAAAUACCCGGGCAGCAUACAUUCCAACUCCUUGUGACGCACAACUACGCCACCCAUCCACCUCACGAAAACCGCCAUGGUCUUAUUGACCUUGCCCCUACUUCGAGCUAUCGCAGCCGAAUCCCUGGCGUGUCUCCAAUUAAAGCGAGUCACCAUUUCGGACCAGACCACUACCACUCCAGGAACCAGCUUACGUAGCCGAUCCAAAUCCCUCUUCAUCCUCAACAGUUCCCGCUGCGGGAUCAAGCCUAAGUCGUUCCCCCCACCAUGAACCAGAAUUAUGUUAGGGACUAACCCCCAUGCCAGCCUAUUGAACAGCUCCUUACUGAUGCUCUGCCAACUGAAACCCCUGAAACCCAACCAAGUGAUAACCACCGUCUCCACCGGGAAGCCCAGUUGUGCUCCGUCUCUUCUCAUCGCGGCCCUCCUCCGCGCCCAAUAAACGUAGGAAUGUCCGAUCAGCCAUACCAAACAACCUAAAAGAAAUAGAACAGUGAACAGCAGAGCCCUUAACAAUUAACGCCCCAAUCCCCUGUUACACCAACUUGUCCGGUCUAACGUAUGAGCGGAACCGAAUGGACUCCCAUCUUCCUAUCCGUUUGAUCCGCUCAUCCCCUAGACCUAACCGAGCCGCCUCUGUUGCGGCCCCAAUUCUAAACGAAUGUGACCCAAAAUGCAUGGGUUCCAAGCCCAGCUUACCCAAUCCUGCAUGAAAUAUCCUAACGAACUGAAAACGGGACAAAGCCUUACCGUCAGCAUGGAUGAAGAAACAGCCUUCCUUCUCGGGGUGGACUUCCAAGAAUUCGGCACCGCAAGCCACUGGGCAAACCUUAGACCCUGGCAAUUUGAACAAUGUUACCAAGCUUCCUUUGCCGAAUAUGUCCGUCUUUGAGUGGCACAACUUAAUCUGUACCUUAUCUUCACCAACGGUCACGUCCCCCAACCGAAUCCCACCAACCCCUGCUUUGUUGGUGCUAAGCAGCUUCCCAAUACGGAAUGCCCCGAAGAAUGCCCCGAAGAAUGCCCAGACAAACGCCCCGGAAAACAACACAACUUCAUAUUUGGAGUAACAUAAUGUCGGUAGAGCCUCCACUAGUCCUUGCAGCACCGCGAAUGACACUGGCCUCCUCAUAUCCACCGAUUUCUUACCCCUCCGAAAACCUCUUAUGGCUUGCCUGACCAAGAAAUGUUUCGUGAUAUCCUCCCAUCCAUUAAAUUUAAAUAGGAAGGCCAACGCCGACAUGUGCCUGUCAACCAUAGCUGGUGAAGCCUUCAUGGAAAAAAGGCAACACAGCACCCAUAACAGUAUAUCUAACUGAUGUCCUUCUGAACAGUCCCCUCCCACUUGUGCCACCGACUCUUCCCAUUCGUGCCAAACCUUCACAUAUGCCACCCAGGUGCCUGGUGCCAGUGAACUCUUUAUGAACUCCCCAAGCAUGAUGUCCCGAGCUGCCACAUUUCCGCCGGACAUGCCAAUCCUUCCUCUUGUGCCUCUGGCGCUGCUUCCCGAAAACAAUCCCACUGUGAACGAGACAGCGCGUCAGCCACUAUAUUCAAGAAACCUGGAACAUGCCUUGCCCUGAACACUAUAUUGCUAGACAUACAUAGAAGUACCAAAUGCCUUAAUAACCGUAUUACUGCAGGAGAUGAUGCCGACAACCCAUUGAUAGCCUGGACCACUGCCAUGUUAUCUGAGUAAAAUACCACUUUUUUGUUUGCUCCGUUUUCCCCAUAACGCCACCGCUACCACCACCGGGAAAAAUUCUAGGAGCGCAAGGUUCCUUAUCAGCGAGCUCGUCUUCCACUCCGCUGGCCACUCCUCGGCGCACCAUUGCCCCGCUAAAUAAGCCCCAAACCCCAGGCUCCCGGAAGCAUCUGUAAACAAGCCGAUGUCCUUGGAGGAUACUCCCGGCUCCGGAAAAAACACUAUACCGUUAAAUUCCCUUAGAAACCUUUUCCAAACCCCCAGAUCCGCUCUCAUAUCCGCCGAAACCUUCACGUAAUGAUUCGGCAACCACACACCGCUCGUCGCCUGGGCCAGCCGUCUACAAAAAACUCUGCCCAUCGGAAUCACUCUGCAUGCAAAAUUAAGACUCCCCAAUAGCGACUGCAGCCCUCGCAAAGUCACUUUUCUCGCAUGCCACACCGUGUCCACUAGCUGACAAAGCUUAAGUAGUUUGUCCGCGGGCAGUCUGCAUUCCCCUUUUACAGAGUUAAUCUCCAGGCCGAGGAAACUAAGGCAUGAGGUGGGGCCAACCGUCUUAUCCCCUGCCAAAGGAACCCCAAAAGAGUGUGCUAUCCAUUGAAACACCCUCAGUAUCUGGCCACACCACUCAGAUCCUUCCGGCCCUACACACAAGAAAUCAUCGAGGUAAUGCACGAUUGAUCCACCAGCCGACUCCCGUCGUACCACCCAUUCCAAAAAGGUGCUAAACUUUUCGAAAUAGGAACACGAGAUGGAACAGCCCAUCGGUAAACACAGGUCUACGAAGAAACCCCCUUCGAAGAAGCACCCCAGAAGGUGGUGACAACCCGGAUGAAUGGGGAGCAGCCGAAAUGCUGCUUCCACGUCCACCUUUGCCAUCAGUGCACCGUGUCCCGCUCUCCGAACCAACUCGACUGCAUGGUCGAAUGAUGCAUAGGAUACGGAACACAGCGCUGCGUCGAUAUCAUCAUUCACCGAUGACCCGCGUGGGUGUGAUAAGUGAUGUAUCAGGCAAAAUUUCCCUUCCUCCUUUUUAGGGACUACCCCCAGCGGAGACACCCUUAAAUCUUCUAUCGGCGGGGACGGAAACGGCCCCGCCAUCCUCCCCAUCUGGACUUCUUUCAUUAAUUUUUCCCACACUACCCCCGGGUGAUCCCGUACUGAUUUAAGGUUUGCACACAUGGUUCCCGGACCUUUGACCUUGAAUGGGAUAACAAAACCCUCUGUAAACCCCCGCCAUAAGAAUCUUGCCUCCUCCUGGUUACCGUACUGCCUUAACCAAGGCAGCAUCGCGCCGACCUUCACCGGUGACGUUCCCAGUCGCCACUGUUGUGGCUGAUGUCCCUGCUGCACCCCCGAAGUUAGAUUUUCCUUUCUUAAAGCACCUGUUGACUCCAUGAUUUCCCCCGCAUCCGGAACAUUCAUGUUUAAAUCUACACGAUGCCCCCCAUUUGCACUGCCCUUCAUUGUACAGCCAACAGAACCCUUUCUUCUGUCCGGCCAAUACAGCGCUUCCCGUGGCCGUACCGGCCGUCCCUUGAAAGGGCGCAUUUUUCUGGGCCAUCAUUAUUCUCAUCCAUAAAGGCAGGUCCAUCUGAUCCCACCUCAUACUAGGAUUCGCUGCCAACCGUUGGCGGAAUUGUUCGUCGUACCGCCACCAUGCUAAUCCCCCAUAAGUCCUGUAAGCAUCCCCUAUCCCGUCCAAAUAACAAAACAGCUGCGAACAUCGUUCUGGGUACUUUUCCCCGACUACGCUCGCCAAAAUACAGAAGGCCCUGAGCCAAUUCCCAAAAGUCUUGGGUAUCUUCCGAUACCGCCGCUUUUUCUCCUCCUCCUCUUUUUUGGCGUCCUUCUUAUCCUCUUCCUUCAGGUCGAGAAAUUCCUCGAGUGGAAGUAAGGAGAAGAUUUCCAUGAAUUCCCCUCUCCCAAUUUUUUCUUUUACCUCUGCUUUCAGGUGACAUCCUAGUGGUCCCGCGAAGGACACAUGCACGUUUUGCCGUGCCACGUCCGCUAUCUCACCACCCCAACCGCCUGUUGGCCAGACCCGACUGCCUUUCCGGUUCCCGACUCACCGUCCCCCGUUUCGACGGCACCCGACUUGUGUGUCACCAUCCUCUCUGCCCCUUGUUCUUCAUCUCCCCUGUCCUCUGGCGACCAUACCCUUCCAAACUGCAGGGUUGACCCCUCUUCUCCCGCCCAGGAGUUAAUGAAAGAUUUUAAGCAACCCAAUAAGGACCCAGUGUGCGGUGUACUUUGUGACUCACCGCCAGUGCCCCCGACCAUGGCCGGCCGCGGGGUUGCUGUCCUUCCGUCCGCCUUUUCAGGCUCCGGAGACUCCUGUUGCCGCCGACUCCUUUCCGCCGGGCCUCUCCUCGGGACCGUAGGUGUCACACUCCUCGAACUGCCGGGAAAAUAUAACCUGGGUAGUCUGUCCACGUGUUGUCCUACCCGCCUUUCCUCCCUGCGUUCCCUCCUCCUGUCCCUAUCGCUGCGCUGUCUCGCUGCCUGACCGUCCCGGCCGUAAGACCUCUUCUGCUGGUCCUUUAAACUCCCGCCCGAUGAACUGGAAGCACUGCACCGACAUCUUAGUUUCCGUUCCCUGGUGCUUAACCUCUGCCUGCUCCGGUGGCUCCUGGACUGGCUCCUGUCCCUGCUCCUCCCAUGCUCUGCUGACCUCCUCUGGGUGCUGCUCCUGUCCCCUUCACUGCGCCGCUCGCUACUCACUCCUCGCCUCCUGACCCAGCUCCUGUCCUGCUGCGCCUGAGAGCGGCCCAUAGGGGGCUCCCGCUCGCCUCUGACCCCUCUGCAUGGCUCCUUCCUCCUCAGCCCCUGCGGCUCCUCCAUGUCCCUGCAACCUCCUGUCGCUGACCUGCCUUCUCCUCACCUGUCAUCCCGGCAACUUCCUGAGGGCAUGGAUUCACCCCCCCUCGCAAUUCCCAUCUGCCCGGAGACGCUGCUGCCCCUGUCACUGCUACCUGUCCUGGACCUAUUCCCUGUGAGGGUUAAGCCCGUCCCUGGCCUGCCAUCUGCCUCUCUACCUGCCACCUGAGGGGGCGCUGGCGUCGAGCUGUCCUCAAGCAACCCAUCCUCCUGCCCCUCAGUAUCACCACUAGGGGCGGACUCACCGGGGCGCUGAAGUUCCGGACCGUUGUGGCCCUGCUGCCUGGCUGCCAUCCCAGCUGCACUGGAUCCAGCCGUGUCCUUCUGCCUCCCGCCCGCGGACUUGCCGCGGGGCCCUCUCCCACCGGCGGGCUUCCAACUAGCGCCCGCCCGGCACACUCCAACCUUUGAGGCCCGUCCUUCCGCCUGGGCCGCCUUUUCCCCACUUUGCGGCGCUGGGCUCCUCCUCCUCCUCGCCGCCGGCGGUGCUCCCGGGCUGAGUCGUUGGGGCGGACGUGCCCUCCUGGUCGGCCUCCUCUCCAACACCGCAGUGGGGGGAGCAGACGUGCUCGGGACCCCCAGUUGAUCCUGCAGCCACGCCAUCCCCUUCUCUUCCACCAUUCUUCUCACACCGGCCAAGAUUUCUUCAGCAGAAGCCAUCCCUGCAAGAAAAAGAACAGACCACACAGACCUGACAAGUAUCAAGUAAGUGUGAUUUUGAUUAAAAAGACCACUUCACCAAAAUGGCUGUUAUUUAAACCCUUAUUCUCCUCCCCCCCCUGUCCAGACAUUACUUUUCCACACCCCUUGACCUUAACUUCACCUGCCCACUCUCUGGCCCUGUCAAGGCCCACUCCCCCCCUGCGUUGCUCCAUGGGCUUCACAAUAUAAAGCUUUUCGCUGUAGGAUGCCAGGCAGGAGCAGCAAGUGAUGUCAUAGACAGGGCCUUUUGUACACCUGCUAAUGUUUUUAUAAAUGUAUGUUUUAAUGUAACUGUGAAGUACUUUGGGCAACAACGUUGCAAUUAAAUGUGCUAUAUAAAUAAAUAAAAGUUGAAAUGCAUUUCUCACUCUAUCAAGCUUGCCAUGUGCACCUUUUAAAUUUGAUAAAUCAAUUGGUUAGUGUAAUGUUUACUAUCUUUACUCACUCCAAAAACUCCACACAGUUACGCUGCCCAGUCCAACCACACAACAGUUACUCAAGCCACUCCACCCAGUUACUCCGCCCACACCAGUUGUAGACUACUGGUAAAGGCAAGAACACUUCACACAAUUUCCCCAGAAAUUGUAGCAUUUCCUGUUUCACUUUGUUUCUUUUCCAUAUGCUCUCUAGACUUGGGAACAAAUGCGUUUCAGCCGGUUAGAAUGAAUCAAACAAACAAUUAUAGAAGAAAUUCGAGCCAAUAUAUACGGGAAGAACACACAAAAAAGGGGGAUAAAUUGUUAAAUGUCAAAAUAACAAAAGACAGAAAGAAAAAGGAAAUAAUAAUAGGCUUGUGUUCCUAAUGUGAGAGGGAGUGAAAUUAGUAGAAACAUGAAACAGAUAAAUUAUAACCUGUAUGAAUAUAUUGGAGUGUGAGCUGUGUGUGUAUAUUGGACUAAUUAGCUGUAUGUGUAUAUUGAAGUGUGUAUCUGUGUGUAUAUUAGAAUGUGUAGCUGUAGCUGUGUAUUGGAGUGUGUAUCUUUAUGUGUAUAUUCAAGUUUGUAGCUGUGUGUAUAUUGGAGUGUGUAGCAGUGUGUGUAGUGGAGUAUGUAGCUGUGUAUAUUGCAGUGUAUAUGUAUAUUGGAGUGUGUAGUUGUGUGUGUAGUGGAGUGUGUAGCUGUAUGUGUAUAUUGGAGUGUGAGCUGUGUGUGUAUAUUGGACUAAUUAGCUGUAUGUGUAUAUUGAAGUAUCUGUGUGUAUAUUAGAAUGUGUAGCUGUGUGUGUAUUCGAGUGUGUAUCUGUGUAUUGGAGUGUGUAGCUGUGUGUGUAUAUUAGAGUGUGUAGCUGUGUGUAUAUUAGAAUGUGUAGCUGUAGCUGUGUAUUGGAGUGUGUAUAUUUAUGUGUAUAUUAGAGUGUGUAUCUGUGUGUGUAGCUCUAUGUGUAUAUUGGAGUGUAUCUGUAUAUUGGAGUGUGUAGCUAUGUGUGUAUAUUGGAGUGUGUAGCUGUAUGUAUAUAUUAGAGUGUGUAUCUGUAUGUGUAUAUUCAAGUUUGUAGCUGUGUGUAUAUUGGAGUGUGUAGCUGUGUGUGUAUUAGAGUGUGUAUCUGUGUAUUGGAGUGUGUAGCUGUGUGUGUAUAUUAGAGUGUGUAGCUGUGUGUAUAUUGGAGUGUAUCAUUUGUACGGGCAGAACUGUACUUGCUGCGAGGCAAAUAAGGGAUUUGCUUAGAGCGGAACUUUAAAAAAAUGCCAUUGGGCCCUCCCAAGGCUCUUCCUGCUCCUUCGCACGCCCUUCUAUGAUGCCGGGAGCUGGAAUAUGACAUCACUCUGGCCCCGGCAGUGCGCAAGGGAGCAGGAAGAGCUCAGUUCCCUCGCCACCUCCAUUGAGUGUCUGCCCGGACUGCCAGCAAAGUCAGCCGAGCGAACAAGGAGCCUUCCAACCCUGUCAGCCCAGCCAGCAAGGGGUCUUCUUACCCGCCCAACCAGCAGGAGCCCGACUUGUCAGCCCAGCCAGCAAGGAGGCUUCCUGCCCGCCCAGCCAGCAGGAGCCCGCCUUGCAGCAGCCAGAGACAGGAUCCACUCCAGCUCUCCCAAAGGUAGGGAGGCUGGGUGGUUUUAAAUUGUUUAAAAAAAAUUAUAAUUGGUGAGUGUAUGAGAAAGUGUGUGUGUGUUUGUUUGUAUGUGGCUGUCAGUGAAUGUGUGUGUCUGUCAGUGUGUAUAUAUUUCUGUCAGUCAGUGUGUGUUUGUGUCUGCCAGUGUGUGUGCGUGUCUGCCAGUGAGUAUGUUUGUGACUCUCAGUGAGUGUGUGUGUGUGUGUGUCUGUCAGUGAGUGUGUGUCUCUGACAGUAAGUAUGUCUGUGACUGUCAGUGAGUGUGUGUCUGUCUGUCAGUGAGUGAGCGUGUGUGUGUGUUUCGGGGAGUGUGUGCAUGUGUGUCUGUCAGUGAGUGUGUAUGUGUCAGUAUGUGUGUGGCUGUCAGAGUGUGUCAAAUUGGUGAGGAUGUUUGUGUCAGUGUGUGUAUGUCAGUGUAUGUGUGUCUGAGAGUGUGUGCCUGUCAGUGAAUGGGUGUCAGUGUGUGUGUGUCUGUCAUUGAAAGUGUGGGUUGUUUAAACAGUGUGUGUGCCAAUGACUGUAUGCGUGUGCCAACGACAGUGUAUCUGUCAGUGAGUGUAUGUCAGUUCAUGUGUCAAUGAGGGCGUGCGUCUGUCAGUCAAAAAAGUGGCCUUCACACGAAGUGGUGGAGCAAAUUUAGAUUAGGGCGGUGCCUGAAUUUAGUUGUGCCUAGGGCAGCACAAAUGCAAGAUACACCACUGUAUGGGAGUAAGAAUUUGGGUGUAUAUAUGCCCAUCUUGCGAUAUAAAUCUGAGGCCCCCAAGACAGAACGGCUAGACCAGUGUCCCUCCUGUAAUUUGAAUUUGAGACCCUGUUAUAGACACUUAUUGCACAGUCUCAGUAUUACCUUCAUCUGAUGGUUUGUUCUCUAUGAUUAAUCUUAUUUUAUGAACUUGUCUCUACACUCACAGGCUCCAGGAUAAAGAUGGAUCCUCUGCAGAUUAUUCUGAUCAGUUUGUUUGUGUUACUGAGAGAUUCCCUUGGAAGGUGUCUCUGGAUCUAACUUUAGAUUACCACCAGCAAAGUAUUCCUAUGAUCCCCGCUACGAGUGUCUUGGUGCAGCCUGCAAUGCCAUCACUAAUUUAACCUCCAUCACCAUUUCUCAUCACACACUGGUUCCAGAGCUAUGGAUUACCAUGGAGUGAGAUUGUGUAGUCCAGUCGAAUGGGAAGCUUGUGAAUUAAAGUGUCAGUCUCCCUAUAGCUACGUGUGUUUAUUCAGUGAGUUAUGUGUCAUUUUAUCUUUUACCCGUCUGUCUAUGGAGCUGGUUAUGAUAUAUUAACCAGUAGAAGCAAUGCCAGGAUUUAGGGGGGGAGGGGGGUUGCAUUAUUGUGUAAAAAGAAAAAUGAUGCUGAUUUUACUAAUUAAAAUGAUCAGUAAACAGAUUUUUUUAAUUUGAAAGUCAUGAAUCAUAUUGAAUCCCGUGUCCUGUCAUGGGGUGAGAUGAAGGGAGAUGACGCAACACAUAUUGUUAGGAAAUUCACAAUUAAAAUGCAGAAAUGCUUACUUAUCACAUUUAUUUCCCUCUCCCCGAUACUGCCCUGUUUUAAUGGGGUGAUCCCCUGUUACUCUGGGGCAGAGUGGGUUGGAGAGGGUUAAUAAAUACCCACUAGGACUGGGAGGUCUACUGGAACAUGAUAACAACAGCAACAUUUUCCCAGUACAGUGCAGUGCACAGCGUUGGAUGGUUCCACAUAUUGUAAUGUUACAACUUAAAUAAAACGAAUGGAAACGAAUGCAACCCAACGUAAGCGAAACGUGUCGGACUCCAGGUGCAUGCUGGGAGGAAAAUACCAAUGAUUUCAUACUGUCCUGGGUAUUUGUGUGUUAUCUUACAUAGUUACAUAGCUAAAAAAAGACUUGCGUCCAUCAAGUUCAGCCUUCCUCACAUAUAUUUUUUGUUUCCUUAUUAUUAGGAUUUAUAUAGCGCUAACAUAUUCAGCGGCCCUUUACAAUUAUUGACAGCGGUAUAUUUGAUAACAAGUAACUGACAUACAGGGACAAUAGGUGAGGAAGGCCUGGUCAAAACCACUUUGCAGUGGAAGUAUAUCGUUAGCUGUCUGGUCCCCAGAUACGGUCUCUUGAGGUCGUCUGACAGGGAUUCGAACCCGGGUCUCCUCGUCCUAAGAUGUUAUCCAUGUGUUUUCUUUGUUUGUAUGCUAACUAUUUUUCCAAACUUACAUUCAUGAAAUUAAAAUGUAUCCAUCUUUUAAAAAACGAGUCAUUCUUGUCUUCCUGC